rnacentral:rRNA from 1 species
GGGCAAGCAUAACUGCGAGUCGAGCGAGCUUGCCUAGAUGAUUUUAGUGCUUGCACUAAAUGAAACUAGAUACAAGCGAGCGGCGGACGGGUGAGUAACACGUGGGUAACCUGCCCAAGAGACUGGGAUAACACCUGGAAACAGAUGCUAAUACCGGAUAACAACACUAGACGCAUGUCUAGAGUUUGAAAGAUGGUUCUGCUAUCACUCUUGGAUGGACCUGCGGUGCAUUAGCUAGUUGGUAAGGUAACGGCUUACCAAGGCAAUGAUGCAUAGCCGAGUUGAGAGACUGAUCGGCCACAUUGGGACUGAGACACGGCCCAAACUCCUACGGGAGGCAGCAGUAGGGAAUCUUCCACAAUGGACGAAAGUCUGAUGGAGCAACGCCGCGUGAGUGAAGAAGGGUUUCGGCUCGUAAAGCUCUGUUGGUAGUGAAGAAAGAUAGAGGUAGUAACUGGCCUUUAUUUGACGGUAAUUACUUAGAAAGUCACGGCUAACUACGUGCCAGCAGCCGCGGUAAUACGUAGGUGGCAAGCGUUGUCUGGAUUUAUUGGGCGUAAAGCGAGUGCAGGCGGUUCAAUAAGUCUGAUGUGAAAGCCUUCGGCUCAACCGGAGAAUUGCAUCAGAAACUGUUGAACUUGAGUGCAGAAGAGGAGAGUGGAACUCCAUGUGUAGCGGUGGAAUGCGUAGAUAUAUGGAAGAACACCAGUGGCGAAGGCGGCUCUCUGGUCUGCAACUGACGCUGAGGCUCGAAAGCAUGGGUAGCGAACAGGAUUAGAUACCCUGGUAGUCCAUGCCGU